GAGAUUAAAAAGCUACACUCUGUUGUGCUUAGAUCAAACGCCUGUUAUUCGGCAGAGGUAAUUAACCUUUAAAGUGCUGGCGGUUUUUUUUUUUAAUUAUUAUUAUUUCCUUUUUGGAAUCUUCAGCUUUUAAAGGAAUCUUCCAAAGCUUUCUUUGAUGUUACACAUUUCCAACACCCGUAACAGCAUCUCCGAGGGUCGGUCAAUGGAGGCUUGAGCUCUUGAAAGCUUUCCUUUUGUUCUCUCCCCCUCCCCUUCUACGUUUCCCUCUCUUGACUUUCUUUUAAACAGAGUUGGGAAUGAAACAGCAGACAGAUAACCCACCAGAGCGAGACAGGCAGGUCAAAUUUUGGGCGUAUGGCUCAGAUAAAACUAGGAAGACCAUUUUUGGGUGUGACUCCUGAGGAUGAAGGACUUCUUCAAGCCAUUUAAAACCUCUGCAUGACCACAACCGAAGGAAAAAAAGAGACACCAGAUGCCAGGUCUUCCAACAAGAUGUCAGUAUAUUAAAGAUAAUGCAGCGAUUCUUGCACUAUCUUUAAUUUGGACUUCGGGGAUGCCAUGCCAUCAGCAACCUGGCAUGACAGAGAGGAUGUCUGCUGGUCUUGCCAGGAUGUUGGCAAGAUGCCACCGCUGUCACCUUCUCUGGUGACUUGUGGCCUUCUCAGUUGCCUCGACCUCUCUGCUUGCCAGUGCAUGAAUUUGGGACAUUCAGCUGCUUGGGAAAACAAUUCUGGAAGCUCUGAAAAUCAAGGUGACACAAAAGAAACCAAUGGCGUGGAAAACACCCUGACAUGGAUGCCUUAAGCCUAACUGGGAAUUUCUGAGAGCAAUGGGAUUGUCAUCAGCUGCCUCUCCUGAGAACUUUGAUUAGACUAACAAAAAGAUAACCUGGAGUGAAGCAAGCUGUAUAGAAAUACGUACAGUCAAUUCAGGAUAUUUUUCUUUUCUGGGAAUUUAAUAAAUUAGUUAUUACCUCAUUACUUUUCUAUACU
rnacentral:lncRNA from 1 species